GGAGAUGAACCGAGAGGCAGGGCCUGGGGGAGCCGAGCCCAGCCCCGGUGCCCCCAGUCCCAGGCGCCCAUCCAGGGAGGCUGGAGGGACUGGGCCCUGGCCAGAGAACGCCGUGAUCACGGACGCAGAUCGGGCCGGGUUCAAGGAUGGGGUGAGGACAGCAUCCCGAGCAAGGGCCAAGCCACAGGAUGGAAGAAACCCGGCUGCCUGAACGGUAUCAUGGAGCCUCCCUGCCCUCCUGACCCCUGGCCUCGGCGCUGAUUCAGGAGACAAGACUGACACAGAUUUUGUUCAGCUACAGUGUUUGGGGGCGUUCUUGCUACAGCCACUCCCUCGGGCGGGGCUCCAUCUUCUACGUCCGUGGGUGGCCACCCACCCAGCAUCGUGACCUACACCAGCGAGUAGCUCCGACACGUCUCCUGUGUUGAAUCCUGCGGGAUCACUUUGAUAACAAGCGUAAAAAUGCUAAUUAUCAAAAGAAACCCACAGGCUCUGGCUGACAGCAGAGUAUAGUGAAUCAUGCCAAGAACAGAAACGGCAGUCACACACACUUGGUUGGGUUCAAAUCCGGGUCCCAGCUCUGUGAUCUCGGCCACAUAGUCUUACCUCCCUGAGCCCGGGGUUUCCCAUCUGUAAAGUGGGGGGGGUAGUAAGAGCCCCUAGCCAGGAGGGUGGGUGGGAGGGUUCAAUGAGGGACUGCACGUAGGCUCUGAGGCUGGCACCCCCCCUGGGGGAAAAGGAAGGACGAUGCACGGUCCCCGUGACAAUGCGCGUGCGCCGUGGGCCCCACGGGGCGUACUUGCCAUGGCUCUCGGGUGGCUCAAGUUCUGGGAUAUCUUCCUGACUCUAAGCCAAUGGGCCACUGUGUCCUGGAAAAUUCCAGUUUGCACCCAUCAGAAGAUGGUUCAGAGAAGGGAUCCAAGGCAGCUGGAGCCAAAAUGAUGAAAUGUUCAAAAACA